rnacentral:rRNA from 1 species
UACGAAGGGGGCUAGCGUUGCUCGGAUUUACUGGGCGUAAAGGGCGCGUAGGCGGACAGUUAAGUUGGGGGUGAAAGCCCGGGGCUCAACCUCGGAAUUGCCUUCAAUACUGGCUGUCUUGAGUGUGAGAGAGGUGUGUGGAACUCCGAGUGUAGAGGUGGAAUUCGUAGAUAUUCGGAAGAACACCAGUGGCGAAGGCGACACACUGGCUCACUACUGACGCUGAGGCGCGAAAGCGUGGGGAGCGAACAGG